GAUGAACGCUGGCGGCGUGCCUAAUACAUGCAAGUCGAGCGAACAGAUGAGGAGCUUGCUCCUCUGACGUUAGCGGCGGACGGGUGAGUAACACGUGGAUAACCUACCUAUAAGACUGGGAUAACUUCGGGAAACCGGAGCUAAUACCGGAUAAUAUAUUGAACCGCAUGGUUCAAUAGUGAAAGACGGUUUUGCUGUCACUUAUAGAUGGAUCCGCGCCGCAUUAGCUAGUUGGUAAGGUAACGGCUUACCAAGGCAACGAUGCGUAGCCGACCUGAGAGGGUGAUCGGCCACACUGGAACUGAGACACGGUCCAGACUCCUACGGGAGGCAGCAGUAGGGAAUCUUCCGCAAUGGGCGAAAGCCUGACGGAGCAACGCCGCGUGGGUGAUGAAGGUCUUCGGAUCGUAAGACUCUUUUAUUAGGGAAGAACAAAUGUGUAAGUAACUAUGCACGUCUUGACGGUACCUAAUCAGAAAGCCACGGCUAACUACGUG
rnacentral:rRNA from 1 species